GUGUCAGCCGCCGCGGUACUACGUAGGUGGCGAGCGUUGUCCGGAUUUACUGGGCGUAAAGGGAGCGUAGGCGGAUAUUUAAGUGGGAUGUGAAAUACCCGGGCUUAACUUGGGUGCUGCAUUCCAAACUGGAUAUCUAGAGUGCAGGAGAGGAAAGUGGAAUUCCUAGUGUAGCGUUGAAAUGCGUAGAAAUAAGGAAGAACACCAGGGGCGAAGGAGACUUUUUGGAUGGUAACUGACGCUGAGG
rnacentral:rRNA from 1 species